AGUAAAUAGAUACCCAGGUAGUCCACGCCGUAAACGAUGAGUACUAGGUGUAGGAGGUAUCGACUCCUUCUGUGCCGCAGUUAAACACAAUAAGUACUCCGCCUGGGAAGUACGGUCGCAAGAUUAAAACUCAAAGGAAUUGACGGGGGCCCGGCACAAGCAGCGGAGCAUGUGGUUUAAUUACGAAGCAACGCGAAGAACCUUACCUAGACUUGACAUCUCCUGAAUAGUGUAGAGAUACAUGAAGCCCUUCGGGUCGAGAAGACAGGUGGUGCAUGGUUGUCGUCAGCUCGUGUCGUGAGAUGUUGGGUUAAGUCCCGCAACGAGCGCAACCCUUACUUACUAGUUGCUACCAUUAAGUUGAGCACUCUAGUGAGACUGCCCGGGUUAACCGGGUAGGAAGGCGGGGA
rnacentral:rRNA from 1 species